rnacentral:rRNA from 1 species
GAUGAACGCUGGCGGCGUGCUUAACACAUGCAAGUCGAACGAAGUGGCGAACGGGUGAGUAACGCGUAAUCAACCUGCCCUUCAGAGGGGGACAACAGUGGGAAACGACUGCUAAUACCGCAUACGGAAGGAGGGGAUUGCGUCUGAUUAGCUCGUUGGAUGGGCAACGGCCCACCAAGGCGAUGAUCAGUAGGCGGUCUGGGAGGAUGGACGGCCAAAUUGGGACUGAGACACGGCCCAGGCUCCUACGGGGGGCAGCAGGGGGGAAUCUUCCGAAAUGGACGAAAGUCUGACGGCGCAACGCCGCGUGAGUGAUGACGGCCUUCGGGUUGUAAAGCUCUGUUAAUCGGGACGCGGUACCGGAAUAGAAAGCCACGGCUAACUACGUGCCAGCAGCCGCGGUAAUAC